rnacentral:lncRNA from 1 species
UGAAUAACUUGAUCAAUUAAUAUAGCUAGGGACAAAACACAGAGAAGACCCAGGACUUCUAGUGCUGGUUUAGUGCUGUUUUGGCCACACUAUGCUUCAUUUUUACUGAGCAAGUGGUCAACGUAGUCAGUUUAAUGGGAGAAAGCAUUUUGUAAUGUGUAUAAUCUCAUUGUUUGUCUAAAAUGUGAAUUUUUCCACUGGUUACUUCUGGCAUUUUGUAAACAAAAAUUAAAUGAAUUUUGGUAGCAUGGCAAAUUUUAAAUAUAUACUAACAUUGUAUGGAAAAUGCGAAUUAAUGCCUAGGGAAUAAACUCAUCACACUUUGUACACUUCUAAAAGGCUUUAACAUGAAGGUCAAAUUCUUUCCAAAUACUGGAUGACGACUCUUAAUUAGUUAAUCAACAUGAUACUUUAGUGUAUGUUCUCAGUUUUGCUUUAUCUGUAAUACUUUAGAUACAUUUAUCAAGCAUAUUAGAAUAUUUCCCUCUCACUUGUCCAUUCAUCCACUUAACCAUCCAUCCAUCCAUCCAUCCAUCCAUCCAUCCAUCCAUCCAUCCAUCUAUUCAUCUCUGCCAUGGUUGGUAAAUUCUUGGUCACAGACUCCCAUUGGGUGACCUAAUAAAAAUUAUUUUUUAUUUAUUGUAUAUCAAGGCACACACCUUAGUUUUAGAAUUGAUUGAACAAGUGUAAGGUUAAUACACCAAAUUCUAUCUCUAUCAGAACUGGAGAUGACUGCAUACCAUGUAUUUGUAGUUGACCAGGCAUCAUUUGUUCUAAUAAUGGUUUAUCAUGUAGUAGGAAAAUAUGUAUGCAUAUAUUAACAAACAAUGAUGUAUUAAUAUUGGGCUCUAAAGUUAAUUUUUG